rnacentral:rRNA from 1 species
AUGGAGGAGUAUUUAAAUAGAUCCAAAGCAGCAAUUGGGUUUCUCAGAAGAGGUUCAGGCAUAAAUCGAAGCCCUGAAGAGACAACCAGUCAGAACACUGAUGUACCGGGAAGCACUUCAAGAGUCAAUCCUAUGAAAACCAGGUUGGCUGAUAAUCAGGAGAGACCAAGAUACUUACAUGGCUCGUAUAAAUAUGCAAGCUCAAAUGUCAUGUCUGGAAGCUCUUCCAAAUUUCCUAAGAACUUUCCCCUUAGGAAAUUUGGUGAGGAAAAGCGAAGGCAGACUAAGUUGGAAGGGGCUGACGUUGCUGAAAGUAGUAGAAGAAAGUCCGAUGCCGGGUGUCUUGAUGGUAGUAAGAAAACCAUUGUAGAGAAUCAGAGUUCAGAUGCUCCACAGACUGAGACAGAAGGAUUAACUGCCAAAGAUGAUGAACUGAUAGCACCUGAUCCAGAGGUUUCGCAUUCUGCUGGUUCUUCAGGUAUGCAUGCACAUACAGCUGAGUCCUUGGUAAGGAGUGCUUCACUAAGUUCUAAAACACAUAGACAGAAGGAUAAGGAAUUGAAUUUGGGCACAGCUAGAUAUUCUUGCUCUUCGUCAUUUAGUAAUCAGCCUAGUAUACCUAGAAUUCCUAUCGCUGGUGCGAAGCCAUCAUAUAGUCUUGUUAGUGGAGAACAGAGACGUGGACCACGUGGUCUUAAAAAUCUUGGUUGCACUUCAGUCUCUGAUGUUCUGCCAUCAGGAUGCUGGUCUGAUUCUGUUCGUACCAGGAGCUUUGAUGCUAUGAGAAAGAGAACUUCUGAUGGGGAAAGCUCUUCCAGAUCAAGAGUCAUAAGUGAUCCAUCCAGUUUAGGUCAUUCACAUACAAUAUAUCCUAGCAUUAGUGGUCCCAGAAUCAGAACUACCGAAGAAUCAGUUCGGCAACAAACAUUACGAAGCCGCAGUAGAAAUAUUCAGGAUUCAGCAGUAUCAGUAAGGACAAGACGGACUUCUCCUAGAGACACUAGGUUCAGGAUGUCUGAGGAAAGAGAGGAUGCCCUGCUUCAUCUGAAUGAGUCUACUGCCAGGAAUCAACAGUCAGUUGGUGCUGAUUUUUCUGUGGAAGAGGAUUCUUCAGAAAGCUCAAUAAGACCAGUCUCUGUGGAACUACCUCAUGCAAUUUACUCAUCUACUCGUCAGGGAUCGAGUACUCGGACUGCCAGGAGAACAUCAAGCUCCCGUUUUGAGCAAAGCCCCCCACAAACAUUUCGCAGUCUGGCGAGGGAGAGAGGUGGCCACAGACGCAUAAACAUGGAAGGCAUUGCAGAGGUAUUGCUAGUGCUGGAGAGGAUUGAACAAGAAGCUGGGCUUACUUAUGAGCAAUUGCGGGUACUGGAGACAAAUCUGUUACUUGGUGCCUUCGCCUCCCAUGAUCAGCAUAGCGACAUGCGGAUGGAUAUUGACAACAUGUCCUAUGAGGUAUUAUUUUUGUCACGUCUAGUUCUGACUAAAGGGAUUCAUUCAUUACAGAAGCGUGUUUCUUUGGAACUAUUAGCAUUAGAAGAGAGAAUAGGAUACGUAAGUACUGCUCUUUCUGAAGAACAGUUUGCAAAAUGUAUCAGAAGGCGUUUAUAUAGACCAGUUGCUGCAAAAGGAAACAGAUCAGUCAUAGAUGACAUCAAAUGCAGCAUAUGCCAGGAGGAGUUCGUGAAGGGCGAAGAGGUUGGCAGGUUGCGGUGUGAGCACCAGUACCAUGUGUGCUGCAUUCGCCAGUGGCUCCUGCAGAAGAACUGGUGCCCAGUCUGCAAAGCUCCAGCUCUGCCCUCUCUGAACUGA